rnacentral:rRNA from 1 species
GAUGAACGCUGGCGGCGUGCUUAACACAUGCAAGUCGAACGAUGAAGCCCAGCUUGCUGGGUGGAUUAGUGGCGAACGGGUGAGUAACACGUGAGUAACCUGCCCUUAACUCUGGGAUAAGCCUGGGAAACUGGGUCUAAUACCGGAUAGGAGCGCCUACCGCAUGGUGGGUGUUGGAAAGAUUUAUCGGUUUUGGAUGGAUUCGCGGCCUAUCAGCUUGUUGGUGAGGUAUUGGCUCACCAAGGCGACGACGGGUAGCCGGCCUGGGAGGGUGACCGGCCACACUGGGACUGAGACACGGCCCAGACUCCAACGGGAGGCAGCAGGGGGGAAUAUUGCACAAUGGGCGAAAGCCUGAUGCAGAGACGCAGCGUGAGGGAUGACGGCUUUCGGGUUGUAAACCUCUUUCAGUAGGGAAGAAGCGAAAGUGACGGUACCUGCAGAAGAAGCACCGGCUAACUACGUG